UCCUGGUCUAGGGAGUAUGUUCUGGUUGAUGUGAGACUGUUAGGAUCAGGACAUGGUCUGGAAAGGUGAUUCCUAACAUUGAGAGAGAGUUGUGCCCUGGGGAUGCCAGUCCUGGGCUCACUGACGAUCAGAGUUGUGUUUGAGGAUGCAUUUCUAGUUUCAGAUCAUACUGGACCAGACCCUAGGAUUGCCUCUGAGAUGAAACUGUCUUGCCCUGAGCAGGAUAUCACAAGACCCGAGCAGGAAAACAAUCUACUCCUCAGUAUGCUGGGCCUGAGAUUGCUAUUCAUGAAGACUGUGGCCAUCAAUGUCAUAUUUACCACCAUGACCUUGAUCUUCUAAGAAAGAACCUUGAGGAAGAUCAUCUAAGAAGUCACUAUUUGGAUCCUGGAUACCUUUGGGGACCCCAGAAUGACCUCUGGAUUACCUCAAGAUAAAUCCAGAAUGACUCCAAGGACUCAUAAUUAACCUAGUUGCAUUCAAUCUCCUUUGAACCACAAACUCUUCAUUUCUAGGUCCAUGUCUUCCAUGAUAUAUUAUUUUUCAUCCCUUGUCCUAUAAUAAAGACAAGAAAGCCUUG